ACGUCACUUCCGGGUGUGGCUUUAUUCUCCGAGGCGCCGCAACCUCACAGCGGCAGGUACAGCGAGUAGUCGGAGAGCGCCCAGCGGCGGGCCGGGCGGCCGGUACGGCCGAUCAUGGGCAGCUUCUGCACGUAGCGGGACGCGGGGCUGGGCCCAUAUGGGGCAGGAAAGGCAGUUUGAAAGAGGCGCCCGCGGCAGCGCCGCCCGGCCUGACGCCCUGCGAUUAUAAACCGGAAGUGUGGGGCGCCACGGGGCGCGAAGCGGCUCUUCUGGAAGACGUCUCGCGUUCCCGCGCCGGGGCCCUGCUGACGAGGAGCACCCCGCGCCCGGUGUACGCGCGGUAGCGGCCUGCUCUCCGGGGCAGCCGCAGGCUCCUUCUUGUCUCCGGGUGGUCGCGGGGCCGUGGGAGCAGGCUGGCCAGUGCCAAAGCGAGUGGCCAAGCUGUCACCAAAGAAGGAGUAUAGCUCACGGUAGAUGUCUGCCAGGGUCAAGGAAGAAGGGUCCUCUGGUCCCGCAACCCCUGAUGGUGGCGGGAGACCAGACCCAAAACCUGUUUCGGAGCUGCCCCCGGGGGGAGAUUCUUGUAGGAGAAGGCUGUCCCAAGGCAGGUCCUCCGCAGGACGGUACCCUCUCCCGCCAAGGCCACCGCGGUUGGGCUCUGCUGCCUGAGCUUUCAUCUUCAAUAGUCGUUCUACGGCCACCUGUAAACAGAGAGCUAAGAGGAACCUGGGCCCAAGAGCCAUGGCAAAGUAAAUCUGCUAAGCUCCUGCAGGAAAGAGAAGGUGGGACUGCUAACUCACCAGAAUGGCUCCAUACACUUUGUGCCCGUCCGCUUUGACCUGGGCAUUAGAUACGGAAUAGUCAUCCAGCACAGCCUGCAAGUUUGUCCAGUAAGUGGGCAGAUGUGGGUAGAGGACUCGCUCCACUGCCUGGAAUGCAAAGGACUGCAGUCAAGCAACCUUGUUCCAAAUGCCCUCUUCAGUGCCCUUUCCCACAAAAGAUCCACUCAAUUUUUGACAGGGCUCAGUCCUCUAUUUCCUUAUUGACAUAUCCCACGUCUCUGGGAUCUAUUGUAUGCAUAAGCUUUUGGUAAGCAUAAGGGAUCAAAACAUACAAAUACAUGCAAUAUUAAAAAGCCCC
rnacentral:lncRNA from 1 species